rnacentral:rRNA from 1 species
UAUAAAUAACUACACAGUGAAACUGCGAAUGGCUCAUUAAAACAGUUAUAGUUUAUUUGAUAUAUUAAAUGGAUAACUGUAGGAAACUAGAGCUAAUACAUGCCGAGGUCGAAAGACUGCAUUUAUUAGAUAUACCAAGACGGUGAAUCAUAAUAACUUAGCAAAUCGAAACAACGUUUCGAUAAAUCAUUCAAGUUUCUGACCUAUCAUGCUCUCGAUGGUAGUGUAUUGGACUACCAUGGCAGUCACGGGUAACGGAGAAUUAGGGUUCGAUUCCGGAGAAGGAGCCUGAGAAACGGCUACUACAUCUAAGGAUGGCAGCAGGCGCGUAAAUUACCCAAUCCUAAAUCAGGGAGGUAGUGACAAGAUAUAACAAUGCAAUUAAAAAUUGCAAUUGUAGUGAGGGUAUUCUUAAAAUAGCUUCGAGUACGAUUGGAGGGCAAGUCUGGUGCCAGCAGCCGCGGUAAUUCCAGCUCCAAUAGUGUAUAUUAAAGUUGUUGCAGUUAAAAAGCUCGUAGUUGGAUUUCAAGAAACGCAUCUGGGUCACCAGUAUGCUUUCUACCAGUCUUUGACUGUUACUGUGAGAAAAUUAGAGUGUUUCAAGCAGGCAAUUGCAGGAAUACAUUAGCAUGGAAUAACGAAUGGGUCUACAAUUUGGUUGAUUGUAGAUUGCGAUU